rnacentral:tRNA from 1 species
GAGGGUAUAGCUCAGUGGUAGAAUGUGUGCAUAGCAUGCACAAGAUCCUGAGUUCAAUCCCCAGUCCCUCCA